UUGGGAGGGGAGGAGAGUGAGGAGAUGGACGAUCUCUGUGUAGUUAGCAAUUUUUUGACUGCUGGCGUUAUUCAGUUCAAGACAAUGAAAUCGACUUUAGCUAAUCUAUGGCAUCCACAUGGUGACGAUCUUAGAUUUGGGAGAUAAGUGAUUUUUGUUUCGAUUUUAUUACGAAAUCGAUUCUGAUAGAUUCUUGGAGGGAAAUCCUUGGACUUUUAAUGGUCAUUUGUUAGUCUUUCAUAUAUUGCAGAAAGG
rnacentral:lncRNA from 1 species